rnacentral:rRNA from 1 species
CGCGUGGGUAAUCUACCCUUGAAUCUGGAAUAACACGCCGAAAGGCGUGCUAAUACCGGAUAAAAUCAUUUUAACCUUGGUUUAAAUGACCAAAGGUGGCCUCUACAUGUAAGCUACCGUUUAAGGAUGAACCCGCGUACCAUUAGCUUGUUGGUGGGGUAAUGGCCUACCAAGGCGACGAUGGUUAGCUGGUCUGAGAGGAUGAUCAGCCACACUGGAACUGACACACGGUCCAGACUCCUACGGGAGGCAGCAGUGAGGAAUUUUGCGCAAUGGGGGAAACCCUGACGCAGCAACGCCGCGUGAGUGAUGAAGGUCUUCGGAUCGUAAAGCUCUGUC